rnacentral:rRNA from 1 species
CCUACGGGGAGCUGCAGUGGGGAAUAUUGGACAAUGGGCGAAAGCCUGAUCCAGCCAUGCCGCGUGUGUGAAGAAGGCCUUCGGGUUGUAAAGCACUUUCAGUGGGGAAGAAAGCCUUGGGGCUAAUACCCUCGAGGAAGGACAUCACCCACAGAAGAAGCACCGGCUAACUCCGUGCCAGCAGCCGCGGUAAUACGGAGGGUGCGAGCGUUAAUCGGAAUUACUGGGCGUAAAGCGCGCGUAGGCGGUCUGAUAAGCCGGUUGUGAAAGCCCCGGGCUCAACCUGGGAACGGCAUCCGGAACUGGCAGGCUAGAGUGCAGGAGAGGAAGGUAGAAUUCCCGGUGUAGCGGUGAAAUGCGUAGAGAUCGGGAGGAAUACCAGUGGCGAAGGCGGCCUUCUGGACUGACACUGACGCUGAGGUGCGAAAGCGUGGGUAGCAAACAGGAUUAGAUACCCUAGUAGUC